rnacentral:sRNA from 1 species
GUAAUAGAAUAGGUAACUCAAGGAUGGUUGGCACACUCCCGUAUGAAAGGGGGUGGUGCUAAUGUCAGUCUUCGAAUCAUUAAUGCUUAUGCUUACUUUUGGCGUGUUAAUCGUAUCGAUACUUUCAUUUAACCAUAAAAAAUAACCCAUCCUUGAGUUAACGGCUCAAUUAGGAUGGAUUAUUUUUUUCUCCAAACGCCGAUCCCCUUGAGGGAACCUGCUGUUACAAUUGGUCAUUCGAUGCGCGAACAUCGAAUGGC